CUGGGCCUGUGAUGGGAGUAGCAGCCCUGAUGAUCUCUAAAAUGUCUGCGGGGAAUCGUUUUAUCUUAUUGAAAGAUAACUAUGUUCUCAACCUUCCUUCAUUGCAUUUGUGGCUUGCAGAAUGGCAGCUCUUACCAGAAACUGACCCUGUUGGGCCUUGAUCUGAAACUUCAAGCCUCCAGAACGGAGUUACUGAUUCUGACCGAACUCAGUGGCUCAAUAAACAACUUUGCUAUCUCAGAAAAUCACCCUCUUUGCCAGCAAAAUGUUUGGAGUCAUUCCAAGAAAAAGAGAGAAAAAAAAAUUUCUGGUCAAUGGAGAGACGGGACCACAUUGAAAGGUCUACAACCAAGCCUGAGAAGGUGAAGAUGACAUGCUCUACAUAUUCCACCUGUCAGUAUGACACCAGAGCAUCCUGGCCCCAUUGAAAAUUUCCAUGUUAUGAUGUCUAAUUCUUCAGGGUUUAUUGCUAAUGAUCAAGUUUU
rnacentral:lncRNA from 13 species